AUGCACUUAUUUGACAGGCCUAGAGCGGUUACUGUCUGCUCCUCAGGUUUCCAUGACCAGUGCAAGAAGAAAUCAUCCCCAAGCUUACUGUCUGUCUGACUGUGGCAGCCCAGAUUGAAUGGGGAAAAUAUUU
rnacentral:snoRNA from 1 species